rnacentral:rRNA from 1 species
AUUGAACGCUGGCGGCAGGCCUAACACAUGCAAGUCGAGCGGUUGCAGGGCGCUUGCUCCUGGCUUCAGCGGCGGACGGGUGUGUAAUGCCUAGGAAUCUGCCUGGUAGUGGGGGAUAACGUCCGGAAACGGGCGCUAAUACCGCAUACGUCCUGAGGGAGAACGUGGGAGCGCUUCGCACUGUAUGCUAUCGGGCCAGCCUAGGUCGGAUUAGCUAGUUGGUGGGGUAAAGGCCUACCAAGGCGACGAUCCGUAACUGGUCUGAGAGGAUGAUCAGUCACACUGGAACUGAGACACGGUCCAGACUCCUACGGGAGGCAGCAGUGGGGAAUAUUGGACAAUGGGCGAAAGCCUGAUCCAGCCAUGCCGCGUGGGUGAAGAAGGUCUUCGGAUUGUAAAGCACUUUAAGUUGGGAGGAAGGGCAGUAAGUUAAUACCUUGCUGUUUUGACGUUACCAACAGAAUAAGCACCGGCUAACUUCGU